rnacentral:rRNA from 1 species
CAGAGGUCUCAAGCGUUGUUCGGAUUCAUUGGGCGUAAAGGGUGCGUAGGCGGCGCGGUAAGUCGGGUGUGAAAUCUCGGGGCUUAACUCCGAAACUGCAUUCGAUACUGCCGUGCUUGAGGACUGGAGAGGAGACUGGAAUUUACGGUGUAGCGGUGAAAUGCGUAGAUAUCGUAAGGAGGACCAGUGGCGAAGGCGGGUCUCUGGACAGUUCCUGACGCUGAGGCACGAAGGCCAGGGGAGCAAACGGGAUUAGAUACCCCGGUAGUCCUGGCAGUAAACGGUGCACGUUUGGUGUGGGAGGAUUCGACCCCUUCUGCGCCGGAGCUAACGCGUUAAACGUGCCGCCUGGGGAGUACGGUCGCAAGAUUA